rnacentral:lncRNA from 10 species
GGAAUGCUGAGAAAGGUAAAAACACCUUCAAAUAAGGAAGAGGAACAGGCUAUGACCUAAUGCUUGCUUGGACCAAUAUAAGCAUGCCAGGGCAAAUAUUUAGGCUAAAUUGUGGAAGCUAAGAACAUAAAGUAAAUUGAUUUAUUACGGCUAGCAGAUAUUUAAGAAUGUUAACAGAGGUCUUUGAAUAAAUUUUGCUUCUAAGAGAUGUUACUAUUUAUUCCUAAUAAGAUGGAGAGGAAAGUCUUUGAAGAGGAACCUCUACUUUACUUUUUACAUCCUCAAAACAACCCUGUGUAGAACUACCACUUCUGCACCGUGUGGCCUUCCUUGAUCACCUGUGUAAGCAGAAAUCAGAAGUGGAGGAAGAAGGGGAAGAAGAGGAAGAGGGGGAAGACGAGGCAUCUCUGGAUCCACUGAAGCCAUGUUCUCCUACCAAAGAAGCUCCCACUGGAGAGCAAGCCACUCCAGCCCCACCCCAGCCAUCCUGUGGUUCUGAGGGCCUCCUCAAGGCUAUAGGGAUACCAGAGCAAACAGUCAUGCAGCCCGUGAGCCCUUCCAGAUCCUUCCCCAUCUUCC